rnacentral:lncRNA from 10 species
GUUAUGCUUCCUAGGGCUUCCGAUGAGAAAAAAUGUGGGAGAGCAUAAGUUGUUAGAAAGUUAACUGAAUCAAAUGCCUGGUUGCUUCAUUAUUCAGCUUAAAUAGUAAACUCAAGCUGUGUGACCUUCUGUGUGACAUGAACUAUUGCUUGAGGUUGGGGACGUGAAGAUGAACAACAGAAAGCCCUGUUCUUGAGGAGCUGCUAGUCUAGCGACAUGACACCCAGAAAACCAGGGAGGUGGAUGCCAUUCUUUCCAUUUCAUAGUUGAGG